rnacentral:rRNA from 1 species
AUGUUGGGUUAAGUCCCGCAACGAGCGCAACCCUUGCCUUUAGUUGCCAGCAGUUCGGCUGGGCGACUCUAAAGGGACUGCCGGUGUCAAACCGGAGGAAGGUGGGGAUGACGUCAAGUCCUCAUGGCCUUUAUGGCCAGGGCUACACACGUACUACAAUGGCCGGUACAAAGGGCAGCGACAUUGCGAGAUGGAGCGAAUCCCGAAAAGCCGGUCUCAGUCCGGAUUGGAGUCUGCAACUCGACUCCAUGAAGUUGGAAUCGCUAGUAAUCGUGGAUCAGCAUGCCACGGUGAAUACGUUCCCGGGCCUU